rnacentral:rRNA from 1 species
GAUGAACGCUGGCGGCGUGCCUAACACAUGCAAGUCGAGCGAGAAGCUCUUGAACGAUUCUUCGGAAAAGUGAUAGAGUGGAAAGCGGCGGACGGGUGAGUAACGCGUAGGCAACCUGCCCUUUGCACAGGGAUAGCCAUUGGAAACGAUGAUUAAAACCUGAUAACACCAUUUUAUCACAUGGAAAGAUGGUCAAAGAUUUAUCGGCAAAGGAUGGGCCUGCGUCUGAUUAGCUAGUUGGUGAGGUAACGGCUCACCAAGGCGACGAUCAGUAGCCGACCUGAGAGGGUGAUCGGCCACAUUGGAACUGAGACACGGUCCAAACUCCUACGGGUGGCAG